CCAAUAGCGUAUAUUAAAGUUGUUGCAGUUAAAAAGCUCGUAGUUGAAUUUCGGGAUCAGUACGCUGGUCGUGCCUUCGGUAUGAACUGGUGUCACUGGUUUCUCCCUUCUGAAGAACCGUCAUGCCAUUCAGUUGGUGUGGCGGGGAAUCAGGACUGUUACUUUGAAAAAAUUAGAGUGUUUAAAGCAGGCUCGCGCUUGAAUACAUUAGCAUGGAAUA
rnacentral:rRNA from 1 species